UACGUAGGGUGCGAGCGUUAAUCGGAAUUACUGGGCGUAAAGCGUGCGCAGGCGGUUUGCUAAGACAGGUGUGAAAUCCCCGGGCUUAACCUGGGAACUGCAUUUGUGACUGCAGUGCUAGAGUGUGUCAGAGGGGGGUGGAAUUCCACGUGUAGCAGUGAAAUGCGUAGAGAUGUGGAGGAACACCGAUGGCGAAGGCAGCCCCCUGGGAUAACACUGACGCUCAGGCACGAAAGCGUGGGGAGCAAACAGGAUUAGA
rnacentral:rRNA from 1 species